rnacentral:rRNA from 1 species
UACGUAGGGGGCAAGCGUUGUCCGGAUUUAUUGGGCGUAAAGGGUGCGUAGGUGGCGUGGUAAGUCUGGUGUGAAAUCCCGGGGCUCAACCCCGGAACUGCACUGGAUACUGCCAUGCUUGAGUACUGGAGAGGAGAUUGGAAUUUACGGUGUAGCAGUGAAAUGCGUAGAUAUCGUAAGGAAGACCAGUGGCGAAGGCGAAUCUCUGGACAGUUACUGACACUGAGGCACGAAGGCCAGGGGAGCAAACGGG